UACAGAGGGUGCAAGCGUUAAUCGGAAUUACUGGGCGUAAAGCGUGCGUAGACGGUUAUGUAAGUCAGGUGUGAAAAGCCCAGGGCUCAACCUUGGAAUUGCAUUUGAGACUGCAUAGCUAGGGUGCGGAAGAGGGAAGCGGAAUUUCCGGUGUAGCGGUGAAAUGCGUAGAGAUGUGGAGGAACACCAGUGGCGAAGGCGGCUUUCUGGUCUGUAACUGACGCUGAGGCGGCGAAAAGCUAGGGG
rnacentral:rRNA from 1 species